rnacentral:rRNA from 1 species
AACGAACGCUGGCGGCGCGUCUUAAACAUGCAAGUCGAACGAUCUGUAGCAAUACAGGGAGUGGCGGACGGGUGAGGAACACGUAGGAAUCUACCUUGAAGAGCGGGACAACUUUGGGAAACCGGGGCUAAUACCGCAUAGUACAGAGAUGUUAAAGGGCUAGCAAUAGUCGCUUCGAGAUGAGCCUGCGGUCUAUCAGCUUGUUGGUGAGGUAAUGGCUCACCAAGGCUACGACGGAUAGCCGGUCUGAGAGGAUGAUCGGCCACACUGGCACUGAGACACGGGCCAGACUCCUACGGGAGGCAGCAGUUAAGAAUCUUGCGCAAUGGGGGAAACCCUGACGCAGCGACGCCGCGUGAAGGAUGAAGGCUUUCGGGUUGUAAACUUCGGUAGACUGGGAAGAAGAAAUAACGUUCGUUGAGGGCGUAUAGUGACGGUACCAGUCUGAAGCCCGGCUAAUUACGUGCCAGCAG